CCUGGCUUAGGAUGAACGCUAGCGGCAGGCUUAACACAUGCAAGUCGAGGGGCAUCGGGAGUAGCAAUACUGCCGGCGACCGGCGCAAGGGUGCGUAACGCGUGAGCAACAUGCCCGUAUCAGGGGGAUAAUCCAUGGAAACGUGGUCUAAUACCCCAUAGUAAUUAUGUAAGGCAUCUUAUAUAAUUUAAAGCUUUGGUGGAUACGGAUUGGCUCGCGUGACAUUAGCUGGAUGGUAAGGUAACGGCUUACCAUGGCUACGAUGUCUAGGGGUUCUGAGAGGAAGGUCCCCCACACUGGAACUGAGACACGGUCCAGACUCCUACGGGAGGCAGCAGUGAGGAAUAUUGGACAAUGGAUGGAAAUCUGAUCCAGCCAUGCCGCGUGCAAGGAAGACGGCCCUAUGGGUUGUAAACUGCUUUUGUAUGGGAGCAAUAAGGGCUACGUGUAGUCCGAUGAGAGUACCAUACGAAUAAGCACCGGCUAACUCCGUGCCAGCAGCAGC
rnacentral:rRNA from 1 species